UUUCUCAUUUAUUUAAAAAAAUUCUUGGUAACACAGAAGAGUAAAGUAAGUCUCCAUAAAACCCAGGGAAGAGAUCGUAGAACUCCUCUUUGGAUCCUGUCUGGAGUCACAGCU